GUGCGUAAUAGCUCACUAGUCGAGUGACACUGCGCCGAAAAUGUACCGGGGCUAAACAUAUUACCGAAGCUGUGGAUUGUCCUUUGGACAAUGGUAGGAGAGCGUUCUAAGGGCGUCGAAGCAUGAUCGCAAGGACAUGUGGAGCGCUUAGAAGUGAGAAUGCCGGUGUGAGUAGCGAAAGACGGGUGAGAAUCCCGUCCACCGAUUGACUAAGGUUUCCAGAGGAAGGCUCGUCCGCUCUGGGUUAGUCGGGUCCUAAGCUGAGGCCGACAGGCGUAGGCGAUGGAUAACAGGUUGAUAUUCCUGUACCACCUAGUAUCGUUUUAAUCGAUGGGGGGACGCAGUAGGAUAGGCGAAGCGUGCUGUUGGAGUGCACGUCCAAGCAGUAAGGCUGAGUGUUAGGCAAAUCCGGCACUCAUAAGGCUGAGCUGUGAUGGGGAGAGGAAAUUGUUUCCUCGAGUCGUUGAUUUCACACUGCCGAGAAAAGCCUCUAGAUAGAUAACAGGUGCCCGUACCGCAAACCGACACAGGUAGUCAAGAUGAGAAUUCUAAGGUGAGCGAGCGAACUCUCGUUAAGGAACUCGGCAAAAUGACCCCGUAACUUCGGGAGAAGGGGUGCUCUUUAGGGUUCACGCCCAGAAGAGCCGCAGUGAAUAGGCCCAAGCGACUGUUUAUCAAAAACACAGGUCUCUGCUAAACCGUAAGGUGAUGUAUAGGGGCUGACGCCUGCCCGGUGCUGGAAGGUUAAGAGGAGUGGUUAGCUUCUGCGAAGCUACGAAUCGAAGCCCCAGUAAACGGCGGCCGUAACUAUAACGGUCCUAAGGUAGCGAAAUUCCUUGUCGGGUAAGUUCCGACCCGCACGAAAGGCGUAACGAUUUGGGCACUGUCUCAACGAGAGACUCGGUGAAAUCAUAGUACCUGUGAAGAUGCAGGUUACCCGCGACAGGACGGAAAGACCCCGUGGAGCUUUACUGUAGCCUGAUAUUGAAAUUCGGCACAGCUUGUACAGGAUAGGUAGGAGCCUUUGAAACGUGAGCGCUAGCUUACGUGGAGGCGUUGGUGGGAUACUACCCUAGCUGUGUUGGCUUUCUAACCCGCACCACUUAUCGUGGUGGGAGACAGUGUCAGGCGGGCAGUUUGACUGGGGCGGUCGCCUCCUAAAAGGUAACGGAGGCGCUCAAAGGUUCCCUCAGAAUGGUUGGAAAUCAUUCAUAGAGUGUAAAGGCAUAAGGGAGCUUGACUGCGAGACCUACAAGUCGAGCAGGGUCGAAAGACGGACUUAGUGAUCCGGUGGUUCCGCAUGGAAGGGCCAUCGCUCAACGGAUAAAAGCUACCCCGGGGAUAACAGGCUUAUCUCCCCCAAGAGUUCACAUCGACGGGGAGGUUUGGCACCUCGAUGUCGGCUCAUCGCAUCCUGGGGCUGUAGUCGGUCCCAAGGGUUGGGCUGUUCGCCCAUUAAAGCGGUACGCGAGCUGGGUUCAGAACGUCGUGAGACAGUUCGGUCCCUAUCCGUCGUGGGCGUAGGAAAUUUGAGAGGAGCUGUCCUUAGUACGAGAGGACCGGGAUGGACAUACCUCUGGUGUACCAGUUGUCGUGCCAACGGCAUAGCUGGGUAGCUAUGUAUGGACGGGAUAAGUGCUGAAAGCAUCUAAGCAUGAAGCCCCCCUCAAGAUGAGAUUUCCCAACUUCGGUUAUAAGAUCCCUCGAAGAUGACGAGGUUAAUAGGUUCGAGGUGGAAGCGUGGUGACACGUGGAGCUGACGAAUACUAAUCGAUCGAAGACUUAAUCAAUUUUUAAA
rnacentral:rRNA from 1 species